rnacentral:rRNA from 1 species
AUGUAUAUGAUGGGGAUGUACAUCUUACUCGAAGGUGUGCAUAGCUCCUUUGACAAGGAGCUGGCUAGGUUCUUAUGGCAGGCAGGGGAUGGACCGAGGUGGGUUGGGAAUCCCUGCAUCUCGCCGGAUGAACGUUGCGCUUAUGCUGUGUUGGGUUUGGCGGAUCUUGGGGGAGAUGGGGGGUUGUGGCUGCAACUGGUUGAGUCCAAGUACUUUCAGGGCCAACUCCUCAUGGCUUGCUCACACUCGGCUGGGUCCCAGUUCUGGAAAUCUAUUCUGGCCAUCAAGGAAGAAAUUAGGCUGGGUUUGCAUUUCUCGGUUGGCAAUGGGUCUGGGACCCAAUUUUGGUUGGACCCAUGGCUUGAGGGCGAGCCUCUCCGCUUGCGGUUCCCGGGGCUCUUUGCAAUUUGUGAUGACCCGACCAUUCUUGUAUAUGCGGCUGCUUUGGAGGAGGGAUGGAACAUUUCCUUCCGCCGCUCAUUCAGACCAGAUGAGGUACGGGAAUGGAUAGUCCUGAGGGAAGUAGUCCCUCUUCGUCUGUCCCAGGACCCUGACACUGUGUCUUGGAGCCUUUCUCCUUCGGGUGAAUUCUCUGUUAGUUCGGCCUAUCAGGCAUUAUGUCGUAUGCUGGUUCUACAGUGGCUAUCCCCACUGUGGAAGGCACCGUUGCCCUUGAAUAUUAAGAUUUUUGUAUGGCAGCUCCUCCGUGAUCGUCUGCCUUCGGGGACCGAGGUGUUGAAACGCCAUGGUCCGGGCAAUGGCCUUUGUCCUCUGUGCCAUGUCCCGGAAACGGGAACGCACAUUUUGUUCUCUUGCAUAGCAGCGCAGGCACUUUGGUGCUUUGUUCGUGAGGCUCUAGGGCUAGAGUGGGAGGCUCAUGACCUUGCAGAGUUUCUGCAGGUUAGGGCCAAUCGGGUUGGCCGUAAGCACCGACUGUUCUGGCUCAUCUUCGCGGCUAUGAUGUGGACUCUCUGGACUACUCACAACAAGAUGGUGAUUGAGCGGGAGUUCCCGCGACGUGCUUCUGACUCGUUCUUCAAAUUUCUUGCCUUCUUGCAGCACAGGCAUCCGCUCGCUAGGCCGAGGGAUCGUGAUCGACUUCAGCUACUCCUGGACGCCCUGGUGUCUACGGCGUGUCGGCUCUCCGACCGCUCGCAUGUUUUGUAG